UACAGAGGGGGCAAGCGUUAUUCGGAAUUAUUGGGCGUAAAGGGCGCGUAGGCGGCCUGGCAAGUGGAAGGUGAAAUCCCUCGGCUUAACCGAGGAACUGCCCUCCAAACUGCUUGGCUUGAGUCCGGGAGAGGUGAGUGGAAUUCCCAGCGUAGCGGUGAAAUGCGUAGAUAUUGGGAGGAACACCAGUGGCGAAGGCGGCUCACUGGACCGGAACUGACGCUGAGGCGCGAAAGCGUGGGGAGCAAACGGG
rnacentral:rRNA from 1 species